GACGAACGCUGGCGGCGUGCUUAACACAUGCAAGUCGAACGGAAAGGCUCCAGCUUGCUGGAGUACUCGAGUGGCGAACGGGUGAGUAACACGUGGGUAAUCUGCCCUGCACUCUGGGAUAAGCCUGGGAAACUGGGUCUAAUACUGGAUAUGACCUUUCUCCUUGUGGGGUUUGGUGGAAAGUUUUUCGGUGUAGGAUGAGCCCGCGGCCUAUCAGCUUGUUGGUGGGGUGAUGGCCUACCAAGGCGACGACGGGUAGCCGGCCUGGGAGGGUGAUCGGCCACAUUGGGACUGAGAUACGGCCCAGACUCCUACGGGAGGCAGCAGUGGGGAAUAUUGCACAAUGGGCGGAAGCCUGAUGCAGCGACGCCGCGUGAGGGAUGACGGCCUUCGGGUUGUAAACCUCUUUCAGCAGGGACGAAGCGUAAGUGACGGUACCUGCAGAAGAAGCACCGGCUAACUAUGUG
rnacentral:rRNA from 1 species